UAACUGGCCCAAUCGCCCAGCGCCCAGGCCAUCCCUGCCUGCUUCCUGUCCGCACGGUGGACGAACGAAACCAGCCGCCCCUUCUUCCCCUGACUUGACAAACCCUAGGCGACCAGGACCAGCCGUCCCUGCCCUCCCGGUCCGUUGCCCGCCCCUUCGAUCCCUUCUGCGGUCAUGCGGGCGUCAGGUUGCGCCACUGCCGCGCUGCGCGCUGCUGCUCCGUCCGGCGAGGCGUGGAGGCGGCGACUCCGGCGAGGCUUGGCGUCCGCGAGGUGCUCGAUCCCUUCUUCCUGGCGUCCGGCGAGGCGCGGUGGCGGCGACUCCGGCGAGGCUUGGCCUCCGCGAGGUGCUCGAUCCCUUCUUCCUGGCGUCCGGCGAGGUGCUGGUUUGCCAGGAGCUGAGCCGCAAUACUGAGCAGAGCAGAGAGAUCUUACAGGAAGGCAAGAUGAGUAACCGAAACAAGACAUUCAAUUCAUUUUUUCAAGUUCAUUAAGCGAUUUUAAGGUUAUCGCAAUCGCAGAUGCCUUUUGCCUUGUCCUAGACGUAAGUUCUCAAAUUUUGCAUCUAUCAUUAACUCCUUUUACCUGCUAUAUUAUGCAUUGAUUUGCAUUUCAAAAAUUAUAUUCAAGGUUUAGCAUCUUCUGCUAUUGAAGAUAUAGGCAUGGGAGGCUCAGAUCAGCCAAUCCAUUGAUUUUGUAUCAAUCUUUUGUAUCAUUUAUAUACGCUACAUAUUUCUUUUGAUUUUUCUUGCUUUAUUAGUUAACCCAUCAUGGAACAAAUAUUGCCGUUGAAUAUUAUGUUUGGUGUAUUAUCAGUUGUGCAAUAUAGAUUCACUUUCGUAUGCCUUGAAACUGGAAUUUUUUUAGGGUAGUUUUUAGCCCUUAGUUUCUCGCCCGGGGCGUCAGCCAAUCCUGGCUCCGCCACUGCAUGCAAGCAACCGAUUAAGAGGUCGAGGUUAUGUUUCAUCUACAGUAAGUAGGGUCACGAGAGCAAAACUUCUACGCAGAGGGGUGAUCUCCCAAAGGCAGCAAGGAGGCCACCCGAGGUACUCAUCUUGUGGACUAACAUGCGACAUGAAGAAUACUUGCGGCAAAUUGAUGGUUGGUUAUGAAGACCGAAAAUGGUUAUGACACAUGUGAGAUUCUUAUGAGUUGGCAUGAAGAUAGUUGAGGGAGUUUCCGUUGAGUCAGGUUAGGAUGAAAUGAAAUUUAAGUAACAAAAUGCCUUAUUUGUCGGGAUUACUGAAAAACGACAUCGGCUUAUAGUGAGCCAGGUUAGAAUCAUUUAGAGUUAAAUACACUGGAGAUGCCUCAACUUAUCCUGUGCGCGGUCAGUUUGGUGUCUAAAGUUGUAAAAUACAUGAAAUUGAUGCUCGAACUUGUCCGGUCAUGCAAAUACGGCGCCUCCUUCCGUAUCCGAACAUGUCCAGCCCGCGUGGCGUGCCAGCUUGGCGGUGACCCAUCUGUAAGUGGUUGAGAGCGGGAAAGUGCCGAGUACUCCAGGCGCGAGGACCUUUUUUAAGAAACCCCCUUAUAUUUAUUUAAUCACAUAGAAAAGACCUCAAGUAUGAGAAAUAACAUGAAAAAAAUCAUCAUGGAGGGGUUUAAAACCUGGCACCUCCUGGUCAACUACGGCUUAAUCUGUCCACUCGACCAAAAUAUGCAUCGGGUUCAUCUCUUAGCUAGAAAGCUAUGUAAACACUUUUCAUGUAUCGUUCUGUAAUUUUCUUAAUGUGUUAUCUAUCUUUUUUUUCUUCAAGUUCCUGUUAAUUUUCAUGCGACGUAAAUUUUCCCAUAUAAAAAUACAAUAUGCAACUAUUUUUUACUUUAAGAUUUUUUCUAUUUUAAUUAUUGCGUACUUUUAAGAGGUAGACAUGAACUUUUGCAAAAAAUUAUGGGGAUUAAAAUAAUUCAACCUAUAUUAGAAAUUAUUGUGUAAAUUUAUGUAUGUUCACUUCUGGACCACAAGCACACACUACUAUUGUUAAUCUUCAUUGUAUUUCUAAAAUACCUAAUUAUUAACAAAUUGACAACAUUGUAUUUUGUAACCUAUUCAACAUGCAUUAAAAAGUAUUGUGUUGACAUUUUUAAUACAAUUAUUCAAAAUGUUACAUAAUAAAUUCUUAGUACACAUUGAACUUUUCUACAUACACAUUGCCAAUUUUUUAAUUCAAGACAAACAUUUUUGAAAUACAGGUUAUAAUUUUUCAAUACAUGUGAAACAUUUUCCAAAAACAUGUUAAACAUUUUUCAAAUACACUAACACUUUCUUUAAGUUUAUUAUGGAAGUUGUAAUUUUUUCUUCCAUUUCUAUUUUUUCAACGGUAAAAAUAAUAUGAGAAAUAAUAAUAACAAGAUUGAAAAAAUGAAAGUAAAACUUGUGCAGGUCCAUAGAGGCGCCAUAUAUAAAAAAAAAUCGCUUGAAGAGGUACAUAGCAGCCAAAACGUAUUUCUGGAGCACGGCGGCCAUUGAGCAUGUUUUUAAGGCUAAAAACUAGCACUUAAAAGUUUCAAAAUGAGUUGAUUGUUUUCACACAAAAACAUAUGUAUGUGCUCUAAGUGACUUUCAACUUUCGCUCAAAAUUAUGUUAUAUUAUACCCUUCAAAAAAUGGAAAAAAAUAUGGCAAAAAAAUAAGCUGAUUUUUUUGCAUGUAUUCAUCUGUUUUAUCUCUCAUACAAGCACAUAUAUUGGUGAAAAUUCACACGGAUAUAUUACACUUCUAUGUGUGCAUGUAUAAAAAAAUUCAGAUUUUUUUUAGCUAUAAAAAUCCGUUUCUUUGAACUUAAAAAAAAUAGGACACAAUGUGCCCGUGCUCCAGAGUUACUUUUUGCAUAGCCAUGCAAUAGAUAGAGUUUGACCUCUGCAAUAUAUACUGCACCGUGUAUCAGUGGCGGAGCUAGCGUUUGAGAACAGGGUGGUCCACCCCCUUUUUUUUGAUAAGUAUAACAUGUGAACAUUCUAAAUAAUUACCAAUAUCACAUAGAAAUAUAUAAAUAUGGUCUUACACACUAAAAUUCUCAAUUAAUUCUAAGUUUUGCAUAAAGAAACCUACAUAGUACAUACUAUAUGGAUCAUAGUACAUACCUUGAGAAUUUAUUUGAGGUAGAAAUGAUGUGCAAAAUUAUGCAUCUGUUCGGUUCAUCUAAAGGAUAGCAUAGCACGGCCAAAAAAAAACCUAAGUCAGAAAUUGGGGAAUCAAAAUUGGUAAGCUGGUAAGCCCACAAGGGAAUACAUUGCACUGUUAAAAAUAUAUGAAAACAGAACCUGAAUAACACCGAUCUAAGAAAUAAACUUUAAGUGCAAGUGUCAUACCGAGUUCUGGAAGCCCAGCCACUGGAGGUGCUUCAAUUGCCUUGACUGCUCAGCCAAGAAGACCACCAAGUUCCUCACACUCCUGAUAACAGAGGGCAAUUUUAAUUCAUCCCCUCGUCGAACAACACAAACAGGGGGGGAGCAAGAUCUGCACUUACACUUGCAGGGGAGUCAGAAGGCCGGGGGCAGGGGCGCAGCCGCGCAGGACAGGGACACACGCAGCUCGCAGGGAGGCGGGAAGGAGAGGAUCCUCAUCGGGGGCUGGGCUCCGGUGGGCUAAUCGGCGACCGGCGAGGACGGCGAGCCGUCGUAAGGCACGGCUCUGGGAGGGCGUCAGGACGAGGCGGCUGUCCCCUGGCUCGAUGUGGAACGAGGGCACGGUUGCGGGCUGUGGCUGCGUUGAUCCCCGAGUCAACAGGCUGCAUGUCCAUCGGAGGCGGACCGGUGAGAGGAGGAAGUCAAGUGAUCCAAGCAGGAAGCGACCACCUGGUAGGCCUACUAGCAAUCGUGACAACGUGACAAGCCUCCAUGCAAGCAACCGAUUAAGAGGUCGAGGUUAUGUUCCAUCUGCGGUAAGCAGGGGCAGGAGAGCACGACUUCUCCGCAGAGAGGUGAUCUCCCAAAGGCAGCAAGGAAGUCACCGAGGUGCUCAUCUUGUAGACUAACACGCUGAAGAAUAUGUGCGGCAAAUUGAUGGUCGGUGAUGAAGACAGAAGAUCGUAUCUCACAUGUGAGAUUCUUAUGAGUUGGCAUGAAGAUACUUGAGGGGGGUUUCAGAUGAAUCAGGUUAGGAUGAAAUCAAAAUUAAGUAACAAAAUGCCUUAUCUGUUCGGAUUCCUGAAAAAUGAUAUCCACUUGGGGAAAGUAGUGGUUGAGCCCCACCUCGGUGCACCCACGGUGCAUCCAUGCAAGAAGACAUACCAAAACAUUUCGAAACAAUCCAAAACUUUAUGAAAAUGAUCAUCAACAAAUGUUAGAGAGGCUUGCCAAGUUUGAUGGUCAAAUGACAUCCGAGGAGAACUGUACAAAAAAUUACAAUUUUUGGUCAAACAGUGCACAUACAUGUUGACUAUUUUUGACUAAUUUUGUGUUUUUCGUAUAGAGCUCCUCGGAUGUCAUUUGACCACCAAAAUUUGCAAACCUCUAACAUUUGUUGAUGAACUUCCACAAAGUUUCAGAUUUUUUUUCAAAAUGUUUUGGUAUAUUUUCUUGCGUGGGUGCAUCAAGGGUGGGUGUAGAAAAACCACAUUUGGCGACUUCUUCCAGCUAUCUUCUUGUAAUUUUUUUGUUUAAGUGCCAUAUUUUGAUUACGUGUGGAGGUAUUGAUGUGAAAAAUUGUUCAAAUCCAAUAGUAAGAUUCUUAUGUUCUUCAA